rnacentral:snoRNA from 1 species
CCCCUCUCAGGGUCAUACCUGGAGAGUUUCCAGUAUUCUACCAGUCUCGACUACGGAAGGGAGAGUCAAGCAGAGGCCUGCCCAUUCCAUUCCUAGCUUGGGCAGUGGCUAGAGAGUGGAAGACAAUCUGCUACAAGU